ACUACAACAAAAGACAAAGCACGGCUUCAAACACGACUCUCCGCUUCUCCUCCAGCUACUUUCCUUCUUUUUGAGUUCACGCAAAUGUUGGCGACUUUAGAAUGCAGAGAUCAAAGUCCGUGUACACAAGCUAAAGUACUAGCUAGAUGAGAUCGUUGCAAGCUUAACUCAAGAUAAUAAAUAUUCUGUUCAAAUCUUGACAUGAGAAAUUCAUACAUAUAUAAUAUAUAUUUACAUUUUUUGUAGAAAGCUUUUUAAAGUAAAGUAGAAAGUGACAUAUUUAGAGCUUUGUCUUUAAAUGCAAAGCUUUGUGUUAUUAUUGGCUGUUGGUGUCAACAUUUCAGCCUUUUCCAAUUGUGCGUUUUGCUGUUUUUUUUUUCAAUUUGAUUUUGUUUCUGCAGCGAUGCAAUGACAAAUGAGUCACGGGCCGCAGAUGGUCCCUGAGCUGUACUUUUGAGACCCCUACUUUUAUGGCGACAUCACCUCUACUCCAUUCAUUUUCAAUGGAACCUGCACGAUAGGGCGAUUCUUGUGUGUCCAGCCAAGAAACAUGCCAAAUUUGUGUGUGUCAAAGUUUGUAUUCGUGUAUGUCAACGCGAUCCCAGAAUGUUGAAAAAUGUAAAACUUUUCAUCGCUGCCGUCCAGAUGACCAAUCAGUGGGAGUUUUACUGAUCGACCACUAAGAGGACAAGAUGCUAAUCAGUACGCUAUACUUGCCGUGUCAGAUUUCCCGGAGCUAUUUGACAUCUCUAAAAAAGAAUAUAGCGAUAUAAAGAAAAAAGCGGCUCCUCUUAACUACUUUGAUACUGCCAAAUUCCUUCCACAACUGACAGCCAGUCAAAACCGUGGCAGACUCGUACAAUUUGCUCUGGAUGUGAACACGUCGCUCACGGGUGUCGAUGGUCACGACGCUCGUCGCUUCCCGUGUGCAUGGUUUGCUAUGCGUUGGCGAUGAGUUUCGCCAAUCGCAGUCUCCAGUGUGUGCCGCCCAUUAGUCCUAACGAGCCACGUCGCAGAGGCAGAUUUUGAGCCAUAUUAACGUAAAAUAAUUACUGCUGUGUUCACAGGCACAGCGCUGCGCUCUGCCACUCCCUCUCUCUCAGCCUCUGCAAGCUGCUCGCUGUUGCAUGCGUGGCAAGGCGAGCCGGUGUGCGCGUGCUGGUACCUCCGGCCGGGUUUUGGGGACUAGGCUCUUGGCUUGCAGGUUGCGUGCCUGGAGGGCGGCAAUGUGUAUGGGCGUGUUCAAUCGACAAAUGCGUGCCUGUUGGUCGCUUCUUGGGAGGGGAGGGCACUGAUUUUUAUAAUAUAAUGAUAUUAUAUUUAAAUGAUAUUAAUAUUAUAAUUAUAUAUAAUAAUAUUCUUACAGGGCCGCACGUUGGUCUAGUGGUUAGCAUGUUGGCCAAUACAGGAACAGCCUGGAGAUUGGAAAGACCUGGGUUCGAUUCUCCCUUGGGCAUUUCUGUGCGGAGUUUGCAUAUUCUCCCCGUGUGCGCGUGGGUUUUCUCCGGGUACUCCGGCUUCCUCCCACAUUCCAAAAACAUGCAUGUUCGGUUAAUUGGCCAUUCUAAAUUGUCCAUAGAUGUGAAUGGUUGUUUGUCUAUAUGUGCCCUGCGAUUGGCUGGCGACCAGUCCAGGGUGUAUCCUGCCUGUCGCCCGAAGUCAGCUGGGAUAGGCUCCAGCAUGUCCCCGCCACCCUAAUGAGGAUGAAGCGGUAUAGAAAAUGGAUAGAUGGAAUAUUCUUACAAUUGACCGGCAAAGUCCCAAAGAUCGAUUGGUGGCUCGCGAUCGACGGGUUGGCGACCCCUGGCAUAGGAGUUCCCAAAGAAGUGGUUGGUGAAAGUGUGUUAAAAGGGUCAGCUGGCUCAAGAUGACAUUUUUUAACCAAAAAAAGGCCCCUCCCACCGGCUGGCAUAUGUCACCAAUAGUGGUUUAAAAGAACAGAUUGUACCAAAAAUGUAAAAAAAUGUAAUAUCAUGAUUACAAAUGAUUACCAAGCAUACCCAAACCAAUUUUUCAGGUGAUCAACAAAAAUGACGCAGCUACUCAUUACUGAGUCCUUUUUUGAAACUUGUUAUUUGUAUUUUAGGGGAGUUUCAGGUUUUUUUUUUAGCUAUGGUCUUAAAUUUUUGAUGAGCUGAUGAACAGCCUGUUUCAUUUGAAUGGCUGUUUGCAAUACAUUUCUCCUCCCAUUUCUUCUUUUGAACCUGAACUUAAAACGUCCUUAACCACCGCAAAAUAUAAACUUUUGCAGUUUUUUUUUAACUGGUCUUAAAAUUUUGAUCAGGAGUGUAUUCAGCUUAGGUACUCAAAGCAGGAACAGGGCGUGAUGUACAGUAAUGCUUGCAGUAUGUUUGAACACAAGCGGCCUCUGGACAGCUGGGUAUCUCACUGCAUACAGUCCUUAAAAGCCCCAAAAGAAGCUGAUCAACUCAGCAGAGGACUGCGUUGACGAGGCUCUUUGCGGCCUCGUCAGGGCCUCCAGUGGCCUUUCUCUGCUGCGGGACCACCGCGUCAUUCUGCGAUCUGACCUGGACAAAGUUAGGGGCAAAGUGGCACUGCUGGCAGGAGGCGGCUCGGGGCAUGAGCCUGCACACGGGGGUUACGUGGGUGCUGGGAUGUUGUCUGCAGCAGUAGCAGGAGGAGUGUUUGCGUCUCCGCCUCCCGCCAGCAUCCUGGCUGCCAUUCUGUGCCUGCACAAUGCUGGAGCGUCUGGGGUCCUUGUCAUCGUGAAGAACUACACCGGAGACCGCCUCAACUUUGGACUGGCCACAGAGCAGGCGUCCAACAGCGGCGUAGCUGUCGGUAUGGUCGUCAUUGGUGAUGACUGCGCCUUUGCCUGUCCAAGCAAGGCUGGGAGGAGAGGCUUAUGUGGCACUGUUCUCAUUCACAAGCUGGCAGGUGCCUUAGCAGACAAUGGCUGCUCAUUGGACCACAUUGUUGCCAUGGUGACAGAGGUGUUAAAGGGCACAGGUACACUGGGGGUCAGUCUGUCCCCGUGCAGCGUUCCUGGAUGUCAGCCUUCUUUUGAGCUUCCUCCAGGGGAGAUGGAGAUCGGCCUGGGAAUCCAUGGAGAGCCUGGUGUCAAAAGGUCAAAGGUCGGGUCUGCGGAUGAGGUGGUGUCAGCUAUGAUUGAUCACAUGACCAACGUAGAGAGUCAGUCUUGCUUGCACCUGAGGACAGGUGACCAGGUGAUUGUGUGUGUGAACAAUCUGGGAGCGCUGUCACGUCUGGAGAUGGCUGUGGUGACGAGGGCUGCCAUCAUCUGUCUGGAGAAUCGUGGGAUGGUGGUGGCCAGGGUGAUGUCCGGGUCCUUCAUGACGUCCCUGGAGAUGGCCGGAAUGUCAUUGACCCUGAUGACGGCCACCCCAGAAAUACUAACACUCUUUGAUGCCAAGACCAGUGCCCCUGCCUGGCCAAACCUCAGCACCUCGUGUGUGAGUGGACGCAACCAUUUCACGGACCCUCCCAGUGUACCCACAGGGGCACACGGCGACACACAACCUGAAGGACCACACAGUCCUGUGAUGCGGGCUGUGUUGGAGAGGGUUUGUUCCACACUUUUGGAAAAACAGGAGGAGCUCAACUCUUUGGACCGUGCUUCCGGGGACGGCGACUGUGGGAACACUCAUGCGCAGGCGGCCAGAGUCAUUCAGGUGUGGCUCCAGAGUCACGUGGUCCCCGGUUCCCCCAGGCAACUGUUAUCCGCCCUCGCUAAACUGGUGCAGGAGGGGAUGGGCGGGUCUUCGGGAGCAGUAAGUGUUACACUUUGCUUAAUGACUCCACAGAUUUUGCACACACUGACUCGUCACACGUCUCAGUUGUACAGCUUGUUCCUCACGGCAGCGGCCGGUCACAUGAUAGAGGGGCAGAGCAAUUCUGCAGCAUGGGCCAGCGCAAUGCAUGCUGGGACGCAGGCCAUGAGAAGAUAUGGUGGUGCUGAUCCAGGAGACAGAACCAUGUUGGACGCUGUGUGUCCUGCAGUCGACGAGCUGAUGAAACUAAACACAACGCCUCCUGGUGGAGAGAUGGCUGUUCUGCAAGCUGCUGUGCAGAGAGCUACCGCUGGCGCUGAAUCCACCCGUAGCCUUACAGCCAAGGCGGGUCGAGCGAGCUAUAUCGCCCCUGAGCGACUCACCCUACCCGACCCCGGGGCCAAGGCUGUCGUCGCCAUUUUGAGCGCCGUGUAUGAGGCACUUGAGGAGCAGUGGUAGUAGAAAUAGGAGAAGUCAUAAACACACAAGCUACAACUCACAGAGAAGAAUUAACUUUGUGCAACAAAUAAAGUUGUUGAGACAUAAUUCGAUAUUGGUAAUCUUGUACACUAAAUGCCAACAGACCCAGUAAACAUUUGAUCUUAUCAUAAGUCCAAAGGAAUGUCACACCGAAGAAAAUGUCAGCUCUGUCUGGGCCAAACAUGCACACACACACACACACACACACACGUGCAGUACACACAGCAACACAGGGCCAGUUGACAGUGACACAAGUCAGUCAUGAUCAAUGAGCUGCUUUCAUUCUUGGCCCUCAUACAGCACCGCUUGGACACAUUUUGAUGCUAAAUGUUGGUACAGGUCACUAAACUGAAAAACAACCAAGCCAAAAGAUGUUUUGGCCAAAUGAGUUUCAUUGUUUGUGUGUGCAUGGUUCUCCUUCCUCAACCAGUCCGGUCACAUUGAGCUUGGAAGCAGACUCCAGUGGGCGUGGUGUGAGUCGAAAAUCGCAAGCCUCGCACGCCCUGGCUCUUUAGUUAGCGACAAGCAGACAAGCGACUACACUAGUGAGCGCCACCAGGAUACAAACGUCAUCCCUGAAGCCCAUUUGGCUGCCUGAGACGACCCGUUCAAAAUAAGGCCACAAAGGGAAAAGGACUGAUCUUGAAGUUGUGACACACUUGAGGGACAAGUUGUUGUCAAAGGAAUGUGUCCUUCACAGAAGAAAGG